GUGUCUGCUCGGGACAUCACUGAACCACAUCCAAUCCAACCAGCACAUCAGGCACCAGGAUCGGCCUUUCUUGGAACAGUAUCCAGCACCGUGGUGGAGGUGUCGAGAAUGUUGAACACUCUCUCAGCUUGCAGCAGGGCGCUGACCCAUACCUUCCUGAGAGCGCCAAGGACACGGAUAAUGGACUGGUCGGGAUUGAGGAGGUGCCCUACCAGAGGAAGUGCCACAAAGCCUCAUGGGUCAUCACGUUCCACCUGCCGAUCAAACCUCA